rnacentral:rRNA from 1 species
UCCGUAGGUGGCCCGCGUUGUCCGGCUUUAUUGGGCGUAAAGCUAGCGCAGGCGGUCUUUUAAGUCUGAUGUGAAAGCCCCCGGCUUAACCGGGGAGGGUCAUUGGAAACUGGGAGACUUGAGUGCAGAAGAGGAAAGCGGAAUUCCAUGUGUAGCGGUGAAAUGCGCAGAUAUAUGGAGGAACACCAGUGGCGAAGGCGGCUUUCUGGUCUGUAACUGACGCUGAGGCUCGAAAGCGUGGGGAGCAAACAGGAUUAGAUACCCUGGUAGUCCACGCCGUAAACGAUGAGUGCUAAGUGUUGGAGGGUUUCCGCCCUUCAGUGCUGCAGCAAACGCAUUAAGCACUCCGCCUGGGGAGUACGACCGCAAGGUUGAA